AACGAACGCUGGCGGCAUGCCUAACACAUGCAAGUCGAACGAGACCUUCGGGUCUAGUGGCGCACGGGUGCGUAACGCGUGGGAACCUGCCUUUAGGUUCGGAAUAACUCAGAGAAAUUUGAGCUAAUACCGGAUGAUGUCUUCGGACCAAAGAUUUAUCGCCUUUAGAUGGGCCCGCGUUGGAUUAGCUAGUUGGUGGGGUAAAGGCCUACCAAGGCGACGAUCCAUAGCUGGUCUGAGAGGAUGAUCAGCCACACUGGGACUGAGACACGGCCCAGACUCCUACGGGAGGCAGCAGUGGGGAAUAUUGGACAAUGGGCGAAAGCCUGAUCCAGCAAUGCCGCGUGAGUGAUGAGGGCCUUAGGGUUGUAAAGCUCUUUUACCCGAGAUGAUAAUGACAGUAUCGGGAGAAUAAGCGCCGGCUAACUCCGUG
rnacentral:rRNA from 1 species